rnacentral:rRNA from 1 species
CCCUUAGAUGUUCUGGGCGGCCCGCGCACUACAUUGGCACUGUCAGCAAGGGUCUGAAACUAAAACUUUUGGGUAUUCUGAGAACCGGUGUCGUGACUGGGAUUGACCCUUGCAAUUAUUGGUUAUGAACGAGGAAUUCCUUGUAAUCGCGGUUUAUCAGCCCGCGUUGAAUGCGUCCCUGCCCUUUGUACACACCGCCCGUCGCUCCUACCGAUGAAUCGUCCGGUGAAGUUCAUGGAGUAGUGGUUGUUCCAUCCGCUGUCGAAGUGAAAUAAACCUCNUNAUUUAGNGGAAGGAGAANUCGUANCA